UGAAUACGAGACGCUAAGGCGUCGAAGUAGUGUAUGUCAUACUUCCAAGAAAAGCUUGCACUGUCAUAGAUAAAAAACGCCUGUACCAUAACCGACACAGGUGGGUAGGUAGAGUAUACUAAGGGGCGCGAGAUAACUCUCUCUAAGGAACUCGGCAAAAUAACUCCGUAACUUCGGGAGAAGGAGUGCCAUAUUCGUAAGGUUGCAAUAACAAGAUCCAAGCAACUGUUUAUCAAAAACACAGGUCUCCGCUAAGUCGUAAGACGAUGUAUGGGGGCUGACGCCUGCCCAGUGCCAGAAGGUUGAAGAAGUUGGUUAGCAAUUGCGAAGCUGAUAACUGAAGCCCUGGUGAACGGCGGCCGUAACUAUAACGGUCCUAAGGUAGCGAAAUUCCUUGUCGGGUAAGUUCCGACCCGCACGAAAGGCGUAAUGAUUUGGAUACUGUCUCGGAGAGGGGCUCGGUGAAAUAGACUUGUCUGUGAAGAUGCGGACUACCUGCACCAGGACAGAAAGACCCUAUGAAGCUUUACUGUAACUUGAAAUUGAAAUUGGACUUUAUUCGCGCAGUAUAGGUGGGAGGCGUUGAUUAUAAUCUUGUGGGAUUAUUGGAGCCAUCAGUGAGAUACCACUCUUGUAAUGUUAGAUUUCUAACUUUGAAUCAUUAUCUGGUCAAAGAACAGUUUCAGGCGGGCAGUUUGACUGGGGCGGUCGCCUCCUAAACGGUAACGGAGGCGUACAGGGUUUCCUCUGAACGGUUAGAAAUCGUAUCUAGAGUGUAAAGGCAUAAGGAAGCUUGACUGUGAGACCUACAAGUCGAGCAGGGACGAAAGUCGGUCUUAGUGAUCUGACGGUACUGAGUGGAAAGGCCGUCACUCAACGGAUAAAAGUUACUCUAAGGAUAACAGGCUGAUCUCCCCCAAGAGUUCACAUCGACGGGGAGGUUUGGCACCUCGAUGUCGGCUCAUCGCAUCCUGGGGCGGUAGUACGUCCCAAGGGUUGGGCUGUUCGCCCAUGAAAGCGGUACGCGAGCUGGGUUCAGAACGUCGUGAGACAGUUCGGUCCAUAUCCGGUGUAGGCGUUAGAAUAUUGAGAGGAGCCUUCUUUAGUACGAGAGGACCGAGAAGGACAUACCUCUGGUGUACCAGUUAUCGUACCAACGAUAAACGCUGGGUAGCUAUGUAUGGAGUGGAUAACCGCUGAAAGCAUCUAAGUGGGAAGCCCACCUCAAGAUAAGUA
rnacentral:rRNA from 1 species